rnacentral:lncRNA from 1 species
UGAUAUAUCACAUAUAUUCAUCUUCACUUAAAGUGGAUUGGUCAUUCCUAUCCAAUGGGGGGCUGGCUUUUCAUGGCUUGGUUAUGGGGGACGGGUUUGGACGCCUUGUUCGUGAUGGAGGGGGGCUAUUUGGUUGUGAAGUUUUCCGGCAAUGUGAAGGUUACGGGCUGGACGGGGAAGAUGAAGCAACGGGGUAGCCAUGAGAGGUCGUUUGGUGGUUUAGGGUUAGAGAGGGUGUGUUGUGAGGAAGAUGAAGAGAGG